AAUUAGCUUGUAUUAGAGAACACUGAGCUGAUUAGUCAUCUUGAAGUGUGGCUUGCUCUAGUUAUUUUUAGCAGCAGUAAAACAUACUUCUUUUCCUGCAUUGCCACUGUCUUGUAUUCAUAGGCCUGACUACUACCUAAAAUAUUAUCCACACAGAGAUUUGCGUGGGCAAAGAACAACAAUGCAGUGGGAGGUUCUUAGGACAUAUGGGAAAACGGGUCUGUUCAUUUGUUUGUUCAUGUAUGUUUUUUUUCUUUCCAAAUGGCUGUGUGCAGGAAUAUGAAAUGUAGAUUUUGAUGAAGUCACCUUCCCCAACUGUCUUUUCUGGUUCUGUCUGGAUCCAAACCUUACCAUGCAAAUUAUAAGCACAAACUGGCGUUUUAGUCUCUCUUGCCUGCAUGGUGCUUACAAAAAUAUCCUCACUGUGCUCCGAACUCUGUGAAGGCAAUGAUCCCAAGCUUCCAGUUAAGGUCACUAAUCUCUAACUUCAAAAUAUAAACACAAGUAGAAAACAUUGCCUAUAUUAACUCCUUUUUUGAGUUCAUAACAUUGGUUUCCCAUGAAUUGAUUACCUAUCUUUUUUCAAAAAAGAACUUUGCUUACAAAUACACCUGUGAUAUGUUCUUAUCUAAGUUGAAAAAAAAAGCAUGAUAUAAUUAUUAAGAACUGAACAAAGGUUACAGGAAACAUGGUAUGAUAUGGAGCACUUAAUUACCAUGCCAGCCCCCAGAUACGACUGAGUGGCGGUGACUAACAGGUG
rnacentral:lncRNA from 1 species